rnacentral:rRNA from 1 species
AUUGAACGCUGGCGGCAUGCUUUACACAUGCAAGUCGAACGGUAACAGGCCGCAAGGUGCUGACGAGUGGCGAACGGGUGGGUAAUGCAUCGGAACGUGCCCAGUCGUGGGGGAUAACUACUCGAAAGAGUAGCUAAUACCGCAUACGAUCUAUGGAUGAAAUCGGGGGACCGUAAUGCCUCGCGCGAUUGGAGCGGCCGAUGUCAGAUUAGGUAGUUGGUGGGGUAAAGGCUCACCAAGCCAACGAUCUGUAGCUGGUCUGAGAGGACAACCAGCGACACUGGGACUGAGACACGGCCCAGACUCCUACGGGAGGCAGCAGUGGGGAAUUUUGGACAAUGGGCGCAAGCCUGAUCCAGCAAUGCCGCGUGCAGGAAGAAGGCCUUCGGGUUGUAAACUGCUUUUGUACGGAACGAAACGGCUCUGGUUAAUACCCGGGGCUAAUGACGGUACCGUAAGAAUAAGCACCGGCUAACUACGUG